GAAGGGCAAAAACUGAGGAAAUCCCCAUUUUGCCAGUGACAGGACUACAUUCAGAUCAGCCCUCAUAAUCCUGUAUCUCUGAGCCUUUGGCAGCUUUCCUGGUAGCACCUUCCCACCCUCAGUGAUCAAUAGAAAGAAGAGUUAGGAUCCUCUCUUCCCAUGCACUGCCUACACUGUACUAGGCAAGAACUUUCAAGUGACUACCAUUGGUCCCAGUUAAUGCAUCCACUCCCUGUAUACUUCCUAAAGCUAGAAUAGCAGUGAACACCUCAGAGUUAAUGUCAAAACAUCAGACCCAUAUUGCUGAUUUUUCUACAGGAAAAAUUACAUCGAUUUAUAUUGUUAUCAAUAGUAUAUAAGCCUCUUUUUUCAAGAAUGCCUUAAAAACUGGUUUUGUUCUUUGUUUGUUUAAAUCUCUGUUAAUUUGACAAGUGACACAUUGUGCCUCCUUCGUUGAUUUUAUCUACACACAUAGGAUUUUUGACCCAAUGACUACAGCUCUUUCAGCCAACCCUAAAUGGCUUCACUUCAAAGUGAUUGUAAGGCCUUGAUCCCUUAAAGUUAGGUCUUUCUCUUUCAAUUCUGUGAGGAAGGGGGAAGAGGACACAUAUUUCAGAAAUUUAACAAUAGGACGUAGGAGGGUUUGACCCAGUUCUGAAUAUCCACAUCUUCCAGCCUCUACAAACUACUUUCCAUGAUAAUUUCACAGUUGUUUCUAUUUUCUCCUAUGGUGUUAUGAGUUCCUAAUCUUCCCAAGAUAGAUUGGAAAAUGGGGUCCUCCUGAUAGCUGCUAAUCUCAGUACACUUAGGCACACUGUAGUUUCAAAAUGAUCCUUAUUUUCUCCCCCAUGAAAUGUUACAUCAUUCUAACUCUCUGAAUUUCACAGGAAUUUUUCUGAAUUUAGAUCAUGAAAAAUUUUUAGAUUUUUCUCUGAAUUUCAGAGGAAGGUUAACACCUCAUUCCUUGUGGCUCCAAAACUUCACAGACCUGGCUCAGAGAUUGCAAUCUGGUUGGAAAGAAGAACUAGAGCAUUUGAAUUAAAGUUAAAUUUACAUAGUAUGAAAGAAUUCUCAAUGAAUUUAUAGUCAGCAUACAUCAAAGUUUAUUUUACUUUUUAAAAAAACUUUUUUUUUUUGGCUGCACUGGGUUUUUGUUGCUGCAUGUGGGCUUUCUCUGGUUGUGGUGCUUGGGCUUCUCAUUGCAGUGGUCUCUCUCUCAGGCUUUAGAUCAUGCAGGCUUUGAUAGUUGAGGUGCAUGGGCUUAGUUGCCCCUUGAUAUGUGGCAUUUUCCUGGACCAGGGAUUGAACUCAUGUCCCCUGCAUUGACAGGUGUAUUCUUAAUGACUGGGCCACCAGGGAAGCACGAUUUUUUAAAAUUCUUCAAUAAGAAGCAUAUUAUUCUGCUUUGUUCUUUACCUUAGAGUGUACGUCUAUUUGGAGAUGGCAGUAGUGCUCUGACUGAGAUUAUGAGGGCACUAUCCAAGGCAUUGCAAGUAAGAUCUGCUGAUCCUACUUAAUCAUAUGUUCAUUCAUUUACUCAAUAAG
rnacentral:lncRNA from 1 species